CACGCUGAGACACCGGUUCUCGUAAGAUCACCGAAGUUAAGCAACGUCGAGCCUGGUCAGGACCUAGAUGGGUAACCGCUUGAGAAUAUGUAAGGUGCUGUAA